rnacentral:rRNA from 1 species
AUUAUUAGUAAAACCUGCUCCAUGCUUAAGUUAAUAGCCGCAGUAUAUCUGUGCUAAGGUAGCAUAAUCACUAGCUUUUUAAUUGAAGGCUUGUAUGAAAGGUUCAACAUUUAAAUUUCUUUUUUAUUUAAAUUUUUCUAAAUUAUAUUAAACAUAAAAAUAUGUUUAUUUAAUUAAAAGACGACAAGACCCUAUUGAACUUUACUUAAGUUUAGCUGGGGCAGCUAUUUAAUUAAUAUUUUAUCUUAUUCAUUAUUCUUUCAAUGACCCAAUAUAAUUUGAUUUCAUGAAUUAAGUUACCAUAGGGAUAACAGCGUAAUUUAUUUUUAAAGUUCAUAUUAAAAAAAAAGAUUGCGACCUCGAUGUUGAAUUAAUGUUACAAAUUAUACGCAGUAGUAAAAAUUGUAGGUCUGUUCGACCUUUAAAACUUUACGUGAUC